UGCUAUUAAGAAAGAAAUAGUAAAACAAGAGCAUAAAAUAGAAUUAUAGAAGAUUGACAUCUAAAUAACAAUUAGAAGAAUAAGUUUAAGUGGUUUAAAAACCUCUAUUAAAAGAGGAAGAAACUUAAGUUGAAUUAAUAAAUAUUAAAAUACAUAUAAAGGAAAUACGCUUUUCAAUAAAUCUAUAUAGAGACACCUAUGGGGACUUCUAGAGGUCGCACAGUGUUGUAUGUGAGUCAGUGUGGACCUGGAUCCACCUUUAUCAGGAGUCAGGAGUCCUGAGCACAGGCAUAGGUCAACCAGAGCCUCAUCUGCCUCCCUCUGCCCUUUCUUGCCAGGACAAGACUGACCCUCUCCAUGGAGGUACCAGCCUAAGCAUGACUAUUAUUUGGGGACUGCUCUUUGUAAGGGAUCAUUCAAGGAAGGAUUUUUGGUGCAGGAGCAAUUG
rnacentral:lncRNA from 12 species